rnacentral:rRNA from 1 species
AUUGAACGCUGGCGGCAGGCCUAACACAUGCAAGUCGAGCGGAUGAAGGGAGCUUGCUCCUGGAUUCAGCGGCGGACGGGUGAGUAAUGCCUAGGAAUCUGCCUGGUAGUGGGGGAUAACGUCCGGAAACGGGCGCUAAUACCGCAUACGUCCUGAGGGAGAAAGUGGGGGAUCUUCGGACCUCACGCUAUCAGAUGAGCCUAGGUCGGAUUAGCUAGUUGGUGGGGUAAAGGCCUACCAAGGCGACGAUCCGUAACUGGUCUGAGAGGAUGAUCAGUCACACUGGAACUGAGACACGGUCCAGACUCCUGCGGGAGGCAGCAGUGGGGAAUAUUGGACAAUGGGCGAAAGCCUGAUCCAGCCAUGCCGCGUGUGUGGAGAAGGUCUUCGGAUUGUAAAGCACUUUAAGUUGGGGGGAAGGGCAGUAAGUUAAUACCUUGCUGUUUUGACGUUACCAACAGAAUAAGCACCGGCUAACUUCGUG